GUAGUCUCGCACAGAUGCAUAUCAAUAAGCGGAGGAAAAGAAACUAACAAGGAUUCCCCUAGUAACGGCGAGUGAAGCGGGAAGAGCUCAAAUUUGAAAUCUUAAAGGGUUUCCCUUUACGAAUUGUAGUUUAAAGAAGUGUUUUCUGUUGAGGUUUUGGUAAAAGUUCUUUGGAAUAGGACAUCAUAGAGGGUGAGAAUCCCGUAUUUGACCUUUACUUUCAACCUUUGUGAUACACUUUCAAAGAGUCGGAUUGUUUGGGAAUGCAGUCCAAAAUGGGUGGUAAAUUUCAUCUAAAGCUAAAUAUUGGCGAGAGACCGAUAGCGAACAAGUACCGUGAGGGAAAGAUGAAAAGAACUUUGAAAAGAGAGUUAAACAGUACGUGAAAUUGUCAAAAGGGAAGCGUUUGACACCAGUGUUGUUUUUCUGAAAAUCAAUUAAAGAACUGUUUAUGCUAAGUUGUUUAGACUUUAUCAGCUAACUGUUUAGUUUUGAGCUUUUCUUUAAUGCACUUUUCAGUUAACAAGUCAACAUCAAUUUCUUUUGCUGUAAAAAAGCUUGAGGAAGGUGGCUUGAGAUUCGUCUUAGGUGUUUAUAGCCUCUUGCCUAUGCAGUCGGAGAGAUUGAGGUCUGCAGCGUAGAUCCUUCGGGGCUAAAUGCAUUUGUGCUAAGUUAUAGCAUUUUAUAGACAACUUGUUGACUAUGAUUUGUCUUGUAGCUUACUCGCUUAUGUUAUUUUACCUACGCUUAGGAUGUUGAUCUGUAGUGCGUGCGC
rnacentral:rRNA from 1 species